rnacentral:rRNA from 1 species
GAUGAACGCUGGCGGCGUGCCUAACACAUGCAAGUCGAGCGAUGAAGUUUUCUUCGGAAAACGGAUUAGCGGCGGACGGGUGAGUAACACGUGGGCAACCUGCCUUAUAGAGGGGAAUAGCCUUCCGAAAGGAAGAUUAAUACCGCAUAACAUUAUCGGAUGGCAUCAUCUGAUAAUCAAAGGAGCAAUCCGCUAUAAGAUGGGCCCGCGUCGCAUUAGUUAGUUGGUGGGGUAAUGGCCUACCAAGACGACGAUGCGUAGCCGACCUGAGAGGGUGAUCGGCCACAUUGGGACUGAGACACGGCCCAGACUCCUACGGGUGGCAG